ensembl:lncRNA
CUGUGGUUGGCCAUGCCCACCAUGAACUCUAGCGCAAUCAGAGGCUCACUUCCGUCAAUGCAGCCUGAGCUUGUUCCCCCACGGGAGGCGCUGGGGAGGAAGUAGGCUCAGAGUUGAGCUGGGAUCAAGACGACCUGUCCCCCUGCUCCCCACCCCCUAGCCCCUGCCCAAACAUCUUAGGUGGGACCCACACACAAAAGAGACAGAAGCAAAGCUGUUCUGGCUGAAAGGGUCGGGGAGCCCAGAGCCCACCUGCUCAGCCUCACUAGGACAAGUAGGGGUGCUCUGCCCUGGAGAAUGAUGGGAGCCCACUCAGUCUUUCAAACCACGCUGCGAGGCCAGUGUCAUCACUGCGCAGAACGGGAAGCGGAGGUUCCGAGAGGACGCGGGGCCCCGGAGCAGGAGCCAUAGCCGCCUCCUGUGCCUGCCUGGAGUCACCUCCUGUGCCAGCUUGGAACACCAGGAGUGGGGUUGGGACAGGCCCCCUCCCCACCAGCUCCCCCAGCCUCUUAACAGCUCAUCCACUCAUUGACUGGAAAGACCAUCAGGGCCCCCAGGAUGGGAGUAGGUAGAUUUAGUCACUAAGUCGUGUAUAACUCUUGCAACCCCAUGGGCUGUAGCCCACCACGCUCCUCUGGUCCAUGGGAUUUCCCAGUGUGGCUGCUAGAACACCAACCAGUCCAUCCUAAAGCAGAUCAGUCCUAGGUGUUCAUUGGAAGGACUGAUGUUGAAGCUGAAACUCCAAUACUUUGGCCACCUGAUGUGAAGAACUGACUCAUUUGAAAAGAUCCUGAUGCUGGGAAAGAUUGAGGGCAGGAGGAGAAGGGGAUGACAGAGGAUGAGAUGGCUGGAUGGCAUCACCAACUCAAUGGACAAAAAGGCUCUGUGAGGACAGAGCAGGAAGGCAGUGUCUCCAAACCAGAAACCAGCCCUGGCAGCACCUUGACCUCGGAUUUCCGCCCUCCAGAACCGUGAGAAAAUAAAAUUUCG